rnacentral:rRNA from 1 species
AAUUCCAGCUCCAAUAGUGUAUAUUAGAGUUGUUGCAGUUAAAAAGCUCGUAGUUGGAUUUCUGUCGUGGUCAUCCGGCCUUGCCCGUAGGGUGUGCGCCUGGGUUGCCCGCGGCUUUUUUCCGGUAGCCUUCCGCGCUUCGCUGCGUGCGUUGGUGUUCCGGAACUUUUACUUUGAGAAAAAUAGAGUGUUUCAAGCAGGCUUGUCGCCCUGAAUACUGCAGCAUGGAAUAAUAAGAUAGGACCUUGGUUCUAUUUUGUUGGUUUCUAGGACCGAGGUAAUGAUUAAUAGGGACAGUUGGGGGCAUUCGUAUUUAACUGUCAGAGGUGAAAUUCUUAGAUUUGUUAAAGACGAACUACUGCGAAAGCAUUUGCCAAGGAUGUUUUCAUUAAUCAAGAACGACAGUAGGGGGUUUGAAGACGAUUAGAUACCGUCGUAAUCUCUACCAUAAACUAUGCCGACUAGAGAUAGGGAAACGCCUACCUUGGCUUCUCCUG